AGAGUUUGAUCAUGGCUCAGGACGAACGCUGGCGGCGUGCUUAACACAUGCAAGUCGAACGGAAAGGCCUCAGCUUGCUGGGGUACUCGAGUGGCGAACGGGUGAGUAACACGUGGGUGAUCUGCCUUGCACUUCGGGAUAAGCUUGGGAAACUGGGUCUAAUACCGGAUAGGACAGCUGUUUAGUGUCGGUUGUGGAAAGUUUUUUCGGUGCAAGAUGAGCUCGCGGCCUAUCAGCUUGUUGGUGGGGUAAUGGCCUACCAAGGCGUCGACGGGUAGCCGGCCUGAGAGGGUGGACGGCCACAUUGGGACUGAGAUACGGCCCAGACUCCUACGGGAGGCAGCAGUGGGGAAUAUUGCACAAUGGGCGGAAGCCUGAUGCAGCGACGCCGCGUGGGGGAUGAAGGCCUUCGGGUUGUAAACUCCUUUCGACAGGGACGAAGCUUUUGUGACGGUACCUGUAUAAGAAGCACCGGCUAACUACGUGCCAGCAGCCGCGGUAAUACGUAGGGUGCGAGCGUUGUCCGGAAUUACUGGGCGUAAAGAGCUCGUAGGUGGUUUGUCGCGUCGUCUGUGAAAUUCCGGGGCUUAACUCCGGGCGUGCAGGCGAUACGGGCUGACUUGAGUGCUGUAGGGGAGACUGGAAUUCCUGGUGUAGCGGUGAAAUGCGCGAUAUCAGGAGGAACACCGAUGGCGAAGGCAGGUCUCUGGGCAGUAACUGACGCUGAGGAGCGAAAGCAUGGGUAGCGAACAGGAUUAGAUACCCUAGUAGUCC
rnacentral:rRNA from 1 species